AGAUUGAACGCUGGCGGCAUGCCUAACACAUGCAAGUCGAACGGGAGUAGCAAUACUCUAGUGGCGGACGGGUGAGGAAUACGUAGGAAUUUGCCCUUAAGUGGGGGAUAACCCGGGGAAACCCGGAUUAAUACCGCAUGACCUCGAAAGAGCAAAGUGGGGGAUCGCAAGACCUCACGCUUUUGGAGAAGCCUACGUCGGAUUAGCUAGUUGGUGAGGUAAUGGCUCACCAAGGCGACGAUCCGUAACUGGUCUGAGAGGAUGAUCAGUCACACCGGAACUGAGACACGGUCCGGACUCCUACGGGAGGCAGCAGUGGGGAAUAUUGGACAAUGGGCGCAAGCCUGAUCCAGCAAUGCCGCGUGUGUGAAGAAGGCCUUCGGGUUGUAAAG
rnacentral:rRNA from 1 species